GCGCGCGCGCUGAACUGGAGCGGAGGACGUCACCAUGGAAACGAGGCGGCAGCCCAACCGUCAAGCAGCUGAACGCUGACUCUCAAUGUGGUUUUCACUAUUGUUUUUUUAGGUUCUUCCAUGCUGAUGGCUGUGCUCUAGAGUCAUAUCUCCUGUCGAAGAACAUUUUUAGACAUUAUGAACCAUGAAAAAGUUUAGCUCCAACCCCAGUUAAGCAGAUCGGGGCAGCUGAUCAAGGAUCACCAA